ACGGACUCUUCGGAGUUAGUGGCGGACGGGUGAGUAACGCGUGAGAAUCUGGCUUCAGGUUCGGGACAACAGUUGGAAACGGCUGCUAAUACCGGAUGUGCCUAAGGGUGAAAGAUUUAUCACCUGAAGAUGAGCUCGCGUCUGAUUAGCUAGUAGGUGUGGUAAGAGCGCACCUAGGCGACGAUCAGUAGCUGGUCUGAGAGGAUGAUCAGCCACACUGGGACUGAGACACGGCCCAGACUCCUACGGGAGGCAGCAGUGGGGAAUUUUCCGCAAUGGGCGAAAGCCUGACGGAGCAAUACCGCGUGAGGGAGGAAGGCUCUUGGGUUGUAAACCUCUUUUCUCAGGGAAGAAUAAUGACGGUACCUGAGGAAUAAGCAUCGGCUAACUCCGUGCCAGCAGCCGCGGUAAUACGGAGGAUGCAAGCGUUAUCCGGAAUGAUUGGGCGUAAAGCGUCCGCAGGUGGCAAUGUAAGUCUGCUGUCAAAGCGUCUGGCUCAACCAGAUAAAGGCAGUGGAAACUACAUAGCUAGAGUAAGGUAGGGGUAGAGGGAAUUCCUGGUGUAGCGGUGAAAUGCGUAGAGAUCAGGAAGAACACCGGUGGCGAAAGCGCUCUGCUGGACCUAAACUGACACUGAGGGA
rnacentral:rRNA from 1 species